UCUUCUUCAGCAAGAGGGUUCUUCUGCGGCUACCGAAAUGGAGUUGGAGAGGCUGAAGCUUGAUUGCAAAAGAUCAUUAGAAAUGGUCCAAAGAUGGAAGAAAAUGUAUGAAGACCUACAUCACUACUGCGUGGAUGAGCUUCUCGAUGGUGGUCAACAGAAAGGCCUGGUGGAAAUUACACCUGAUAACAACUGGGCACUAGAAUCAAGAAAUCAAUCAAGUUUUGUAAUUGAGUCAAGAUUGUAAUUCCUGGUCACUUACCAAUCCAGUUCAUUACAAGUGAAAAAUCACUUUGGAAAGUGGGAGAAACUCUAGAGUUAUAUUUCCAAAGCAGAGAAUAUGGACCUAUAGUCUUCUCUCCACUACAAAAAUCAUGUACUGUCGCAGUCAAAGAAACCAGAA